GACGAACGCUGGCGGCGUGCUUAACACAUGCAAGUCGAGCGGUAAGGCCCUUUCGGGGGUACACGAGCGGCGAACGGGUGAGUAACACGUGGGUGACCUGCCCUCAGCUCUGGGACAAGCCCGGGAAACUGGGUCUAAUACCGGAUAUGACUUCAUGACGCAUGUUGUGGAGUGGAAAGCCUUGUGCGGCUGAGGAUGGGCCCGCGGCCUAUCAGCUUGUUGGUGGGGUGAGGCCUACCAAGGCAACGACGGGUAGCUGGUCUGAGAGGACGAUCAGCCACACUGGGACUGAGACACGGCCCAGACUCCUACGGGAGGCAGCAGUGGGAAUCUUGCGCAAUGGGCGAAAGCCUGACGCAGCAACGCCGCGUGCGGGAUGAA
rnacentral:rRNA from 1 species